rnacentral:miRNA from 14 species
UCAGACAGCUGAGUCACUCUGC